UCUCUUAUGUGUUUCUUUUUGUCCAUUUGAAUGCACUCCAUUUUUUAGUGUAUUAAUUAACAUCAAACCUCCCAUUCUUUCUAGAGUGCUGAUGUAUUAUUAUUUUCAGCUUAACACAUUUAACUUCCUAUAGAUUUCAUGGUUUAUGCAGAUUAACCGAGCUAAGAAUUUUUGUGAAGCUAAAGCUGGUGUUAAGAUGAACGCCGCUAUGUAUAUAUUUGAAACAGUUAGAUACAUGCUUGACAGACUAUAUAGGGGUGAUCAAAACCAUGCAAAGCAUUAUGGGACAAGUUUCUCUACCUUAAAUAAGUAUAUGAACUUCAAAUUAUCCUGCAAUGUAUUGACUGCUCGGAGCUAACUUGACUACGCCAGUUUUCUUUUAUGGCUCAAAGUAGUUAGUGUCCCCCCUUAUUAUGAGAGAGGUUCUAUGGCAGUGGAGUAAUGUUCGUAAAUUAUAUAUUGCUUUCAAGUUUGGAGCUGGAAUAAUAUAUGUGCUGCAUUUAGUUAUAGUCUUAUAGAUAUACAUGAACAUCCAUUGUAUAUUUCUUGCAAGACAUGAUAAC